rnacentral:rRNA from 1 species
UACUAUGUUACGACUUAUCUUACCUUAAUAGUAAGAGUGACGGGCGAUGUGUACAUAUUUUAGAGCUAAAAUCAAAUUUUUUAUCUUUAAAACUUUACUAUCAAAUCCAUCUUCAUUAAAUAUUUCAAAUUUAAAUUCGCUUAAAUAAUUUUAUUGUAACCCAUCUCUACUUAAAUAUAAGCUACACCUUGAUCUGAUAUAAAUUUUAAUAAAAAUUAUAGAAAAUUAUUAUUCUAAUAAAAUAUUCUAAUAACGACGGUAUAUAAACUGAAAAACAAACUUAAGUAAGGUACAUCGUGGACUAUCGAUUAAAGAACAGGUUCCUCUGAAUAGACUAAAAUACCGCCAAAUUUUUUAAGUUUUAAGAACAUAACUACUACUACCUUAGUGUUUAAAAUUACAUUUAAAAUAAUAGGGUAUCUAAUCCUAGUUUA